rnacentral:rRNA from 1 species
GCGAAUGGCUCAUUAAAUCAGUUAUCGUCUAUUUGAUAGUACCUUACUACUUGGAUAACCGUGGUAAUUCUAGAGCUAAUACAUGCUGCAAAGCCCGACUUCGGAAGGGUUGUAUUUAUUAGAUUAAAAACCAAUGCCCUCCGGGGCUCACUGGUGAUUCAUGAUAACUUCUCGAAUCGCACGGCCUUGCGCCGGCGAUGGUUCAUUCAAAUUUCUGCCCUAUCAACUUUCGACGGCUGGGUAUUGGCCAGCCGUGGUGACAACGGGUAACGGAGGGUUAGGGCUCGACCCCGGAGAAGGAGCCUGAGAAACGGCUACUACAUCCAAGGAAGGCAGCAGGCGCGCAAAUUACCCAAUCCCGACACGGGGAGGUAGUGACAAUAAAUACUGAUACAGGGCUCUUUUGGGUCUUGUAAUUGGAAUGAGUACAAUUUAAUUCCCUUAACGAGGAACAAUUGGAGGGCAAGUCUGGUGCCAGCAGCCGCGGUAAUUCCAGCUCCAAUAGCGUAUAUUAAAGUUGUUGCAGUUAAAAAGCUCGUAGUUGAACCUUGGGCCUGGCUGGCCGGUCCGCCUCACCGCGUGCACUGGUCCGGCCGGGCCUUUCCCUCUGGGGAGCCGCAUGCCCUUCACUGGGCGUGCCGGGGAACCAGGACGUUUACUUUGAAAAAAUUAGAGUGUUCAAAGCAGGCUUAUGCUCGGAUACAUUAGCAUGGAAUAAUGGAAUAGGACGCGUGGUUCUAUUUUGUUGGUUUCUAGGACCGCCGUAAUGAUUAAUAGGGACAGUCGGGGGCAUCAGUAUUCAGCUGUCAGAGGUGAAAUUCUUGGAUUUGCUGAAGACUAACUACUGCGAAAGCAUUUGCCAAGGAUGUUUUCAUUAAUCAGGAACGAAAGUUAGGGGAUCGAAGACGAUCAGAUACCGUCGUAGUCUUAACCAUAAACUAUGCCGACUAGGGAUCGGACGGUGUUAUUCUUUGACCCGUUCGGCACCUUACACGAA